UACGUAGGUGGCGAGCGUUGUCCGGAUUUAUUGGGCGCAAAGCGAGCGCAGGUGGUUUAUUAAGUCUGGUGUAAAAGGCAGUGGCUCAACCAUUGUAUGCAUUGGAAACUGGUAGACUUGAGUGCAGGAGAGGAGAGUGGAAUUCCAUGUGUAGCGGUGAAAUGCGUAGAUAUAUGGAGGAACACCGGUGGCGAAAGCGGCUCUCUGGCCUGUAACUGACACUGAGGCUCGAAAGCGUGGGGAGCAAACAGG
rnacentral:rRNA from 1 species